GCUGAGAAACCCUCGUCAAACCCCCCUCCCCCCGUCUCACAAUGCUGUAAAUUCCUUUCCUCUGUUCCCUUUUCACCCAGAAAAACAGAGGGAAGAAAAUUAAGAAAAUGGCGUUUUGUAAACCAAUCUGCAUGCAUGCGUAGUCUCGGUGAAGGGGCCACGGUGGAGUGCGCCGAGGAUGGGCGAGUCGAGGUGGUGAACGUGAUGGGGCGUGAUGGUGCCCCUGUGCUAGGCAGCGCCGGCAGGAGAAGCAGCGGCGCAGGUUGGGUACAAGAUAGAAAAAUCCGAGAAAGAAAAAAGCCACAGUUAUUCACAAAUUGAGAAGGAAUGAACGCUGCUAUUGGCGUAGGGAGAGACUGAGAACACAAGGUUAAGAAUCCAAAGGAAGAGGGGCAAGUGGAAAAGUGUUACUCAAGCUCUAAAGACAUCAAAGAUAUAUUUUCUGCUUUGAAAGAGAGUCGCGGAACUCAGUGGGGGUUUGGACUCCUUGAAGCAUCAGAUAGCAUAUAGCCUUCUAUUCUCUCUUGUCAUCGCUUUCAUAUCAGAUGCUUUGUGCACAGUACCAAACAAAGCGCCUGUCUUGUCCCAGGAUGCUUCUUUUAGGCGUGAAUUUCAUGAGAUUGUGAUGGUUGCUGGAAAUGAUACUGUAGUUGAAGGCUUUGUUGAUUGUGUAAGGCUUGCAUGGGUUGUACAUUUGAUUAUGGUACAAGAUGGAAAUGAUGCAAACGAGGCACUGACAAGUACUUUGUCUAAUGAUAUGAAAAGUGUUUGUUCAUGUUUGGACGUCGGUUUUGCCAAUAACGUUUUACAGUUUUGGCUGGAUAAGAUCUUUCAUACAGCAGCAUAUCAGGUUGGUGAUUAAUCUUUCUGAAAGCUAAUUUGACACCAGAGGUGGUAUUGCAAGCUCCUUCAUUUAAUUUUAAUCAGGCUCUUGACUGGAAUGAAAACUUCCUGGUUUCCUGAAUCAUGACUAGUCCUAAACUGAUGUUGUGUAAAACCCCAUUUGUUCUCUGUGGAUGAAUUCUUUAUUGAAAA